rnacentral:rRNA from 1 species
UACGUAGGCAGCGAGCGUUGUUCGGAAUUACUGGGCGUAAAGAGUGUGUAGGCGGUGCUCUAAGUUCGGUGUGAAAUCUCCUGGCUCAACUGGGAGGGUGCGCCGGAAACUGGAGUGCUUGAGCGUGGGAGAGGAAAGCGGAAUUCCUGGUGUAGCGGUGAAAUGCGUAGAUAUCAGGAGGAACACCUGUGGUGUAGACGGCUUUCUGGACCGUAGCUGACGCUGAGACACGAAAGCGUGGGUAGCAAACAGG